CCAGGGCAAAGGAGUCAAUCUGUAGCCUGCCUGUCCAUGUUCUUUUGAUUUUCCAAGGGUAGUGCCUGUUCCAGAAGAUGUUGCUCUCUGGGGAGCUUCCUGAGAGUUACCACAGACUUUUCGUAUUGUCCUCCUGUCUUACUGCAGCACAUUGUAUACAAAAGAAUUGAAACCCAAUAAUCAGCAAGUCAAGAGUUUGAAGGCAUGAUUGCAUUUUUUCCUCUGAAAUCCAUCUACUGAAGCUGACAUCACAACAAGAAAAUAAAGGGGUUUAAGUAAAGAAAUGAAGCAGUGAAAGCUAUUUUUAAAGCAGAUUAUCUUCAGCUAUGCAUAAACCAAACACAUAGACAGGGAUCUAAUUCUUGUCAGUAAUUUCUUUGCUCUCCCAAGAGAUCGAAGCAACAUUUCUUUUCUGAAUGUUAGUUUUGGUGAGUUCCUGCCUUCCUUCAGUAGUGGUAGCAGCAGUAACUGCUAACUUCAGUGGUUUGUUAUGUUCAUGUCAACAACAUGAACGUGUUACUAAUUAUUAAUAACUGGUAACAUGUUCAUGUUACUAUAAUGUUUAUGUCUAUGAUUAUACAUAUAUAUGUGAAUCUGUUUAUUCUUUCUUCCCUGAGAAAUUUUGACAUAACUGACUAAAUUAAUGCCACAUGUUAUACUUCCAAAUGUAAGGUUAUGGACCUUUUUUAAUUUAAGUUUUUAAUCUGAAAUACUUAUUUUUAACAUUGUUUUGGUAUGAUGUAACUUGAGGGCUACAAGCAAAGGUGUGUAAAACAGAAGGAAGAUCAUACAUAGUUUAUAAAAUGAAGAGCAUACACUUCUCUAGGGGUAUAGCUAAGAAAGGAUUUUUAAAUGCCAAGACUCUCACUUCUGAAUGCACCCAGAGUGGAAUUCAAGGUGUGAGGUGCUGAAAUUUCCCUACCUGGUGAACAUGGAAAAUUUGGUAUCUCAAAUGAGACUGCACAACUGUAUUUGAAGAGGCAAGCCUGGAACAAUGAUGGAACACAGAUAUGUAACUUAUGUUUGAUACCUUGCCUAAGACUACAGGAGAGGUGUUUGUCUGGUUAGGAUAUGUUAACUUGGAACCUUCCCCUGAAAAUGGAGGCUCACUGUCUUUCAGAAUGAGAGAGAAGACUUGUGCUUUCUUAUUUAAAAAUUAGCUGCAUUGUGCUAUCCCAUCUACUCCCAUGUAAAAUUCCCUCCUUGAGUUCUUUCUUCCCUUUUCUGACCAUUAUUUCCUGUAAUGUGCCCUAUCGGAGAGCAUGCUUUUGUGGAAGGCGUGCCAUCAUGACAGAAUAAUUUGGUGUAAUGAAAGCAGAUUGUAUAAUAAAACCAAACACGUCUGUUGCCUCACAGCAGCCCUGUCUGCGUGAGACAAAGCUCUGUCCCUCCUUGGAGACGGGAUUCUUAUCCUGUUUUUCUCAUUAGAGAUACUUUUUUUCAUCUAAUUUCAUCUUAUUAGCAGUUUUUCAUGGUCAUGAGUUCUUAGUCUGUUCCUGUAAAGUCAAUGGUUCCUAAGAAUUAAAUAACUUUAGGACAUUACCUACCCAUCCAAGUAAAGAAAAUACAAUUUAUCCCUGAAUUAGAAAUGUUAUGAAAUCUGCAGCUGUUAAUCUUUGAGUCCUAGGUCUGAGUGAAGGAUUAGAUAAUACUAAUGCUACUCUCUAUUCACCAAACCCUUUGAAAGUAAUAGCAGAAACUAAAUUUGAUCUGCUAAUAGUAUAUGUUGGGAAUAUAUUUCAUCCUGCGGUCUCUGAAGCAAAAAGGGCAAUGCAUCAACUGAAAACAAACUUCAGCAUAAUUUUCAUCACUUAAUGUUGGGAUUUAUUUUCAGGUUCUGUUCAUUUCCUUAGCAGCACCUAUAUUUCCCAAAAGAUUUUCAUUGAUUUAAUUAAAUUAAUCCAGCUGUUCCUCCAGAAUUUCUGACAAAUACAUGGGUACUACAUGGUUUUAAAAGGAAGAAACAAAGUAGGA